UACAGAGGCCUCGAGCGUUAGGCGGAAUCACUGGGCUUAAAGCGUGUGUAGGCGGACUUCUAAGUACCUUGUGAAAUCCCACAGCUUAACUGUGGAACUGCUUGGUAUACUGGUUGUCUUGAGGUACCUAGGGGCGAGCGGAACAAGUGGUGGAGCGGUGAAAUGCGUAGAUAUCACUUGGAACGCCAACGGUGAAAACAGCUCGCUGGGGGUAUCCUGACGCUGAGGCGCGAAAGCUAGGGGAGCAAACGGG
rnacentral:rRNA from 1 species